UGUUCAGCGGUUCCACAAAACCGGCUGCCGGACCGCACCCAACCCGCAUGAAACCGUCAACCCGAGUCUCACCCACGGGUCGGUCCCAGACCGUUCGAGAACCAGAGAUCUACUCGGAACUUCUGCCGGUGUGCGGGUCGAAACCUGAAACCCGCUGAAACUCGAUCUACUCGGAAAAAGGGGGCGGCGCAGCGGCGGUGGCGCGGAUGCCGCGCGACGGCGUCGCUCAAGGCCUCGAGGUCGAGGCCGUGCUAGCAGCCGAGGCAGCGUGGGAGCAAUGGGAUGCUGCUGCCUCGAUGGCUGGAUGCUUCAACAUGGACCUGGACUCGCCGCAGCAUCUCCCGGAAGGAGGCGAUGGGUCGAUCUCUGCUCCCAAUUCGUCUGCACUGAACAAACAUUCUCUAUUUCAGGAUAACCUGGAUGGUGAAGAACAAUCUUUACAAGCACCUGCUGCAAUGUCCUUAGAAGAAAGCAAUCGCAGAAUCAAUAGGCAUCAUUGCCGUCUCAAGUCGAAAAGCGAAAGGGGUCAACUUCAGCGGUUAAUGCUUCAAAUACUAUGCAUAUAAGCGAAACAGAUCAACUUCAGCAGUCAACUACCUCUCCCACUCCGAUCUCUCCAGUUCACAAAGUUGAAGCUUUAAUUUGUUCACAAAGUUGGCUUCGAACAUCACAAAGAAAAUUAAGUGAAAGAGAGGCUGCUGAAGAGGUCCAGGCAUACGAGGAGAUUAGAGAAGAGUUUGUUUCAAAGGACUGCACUGACAAGCAACACCAUGUUGGUUUCAUUGAGCUGGACACAUAGCCUUUUGAUGGAAGGCAAGAGCUCGAGGGCGAUGACAAGAUUUUAUUGAGUUAGACAUAUAGCCUUUUGAUGCAAGUACGAGAGUAUUAUGGGCUAUGCGGGUCUGAAACAACAUCAGUUUUGUUUAUGUUUUGGUUAAGUUAAACCAUUGUUGGUACCCUGCUUUCAGAAAACUUGAGUUCCAUUGGCAGACAUCAAAUGUAUUCAGCACGAACAGUUCCCUAGCCAUGAUGUUCUCUUUCCACACUAGGCUAAAUUCUGUUAAGUUAAAUUUUGAGGCUACUGAUAUCUUCCUGUAUAAGCUGUUAAGAGGGAAUAGUUUUGGCAUGUACUAAAACUCAUUGAACGUAUGCUGCUAAUUUCAUCUUCUUUGUCUAAGCUGCACAA